rfam:Paenibacillus sp. FSL H7-0331 NODE_14_length_198085_cov_1.98945_ID_12103, whole genome shotgun sequence.
AGGACCUGAUGUAACUGGCGACGAGUGGGGCUUACCACAAUGGAGCAUCGGGGCAUACGGCCGGUCGCCUGGGCAAAGAGC